rnacentral:lncRNA from 1 species
UCCGAUCUGCUCACCAUCACUCGUGUUAUGGCUCCUCUAUCUGCUGUAAUUCCUUUAAUGCUUGCAAACAAAAUCUGCAACCAGUCGAGCAGGAAUUAGUAUGUUACUCGGGUUGAUUCGCAUUCUCAAAUGUUUUUACAUUACCUUUACAUAAUAGUUUGAUGGGUUGCAAAUACAUUUAACAACCAUCCUUAAUGCAUCUUCAAACUCCCCAGAAUUGACAUCAGUGAUUGACUGAAAGGAAUCGAUAAGUUUUGUUCACUAUAGAAAACAGAUUUAAGAAGAUUGCAAUUGGCAAGCAGGCAAAAAAAGGAAUAAAUUUACCUUGGUGUAAUAAUGUCCAUAGAUGUGUUUAUAGCAAGAAAAUGUCAGCUUAAGAUGUGGAAUGCUUCUUUUAGUGAAAAUCUCAAGCACAGUACCUUCAUCAAUUGCGCCUGGACUUCCUUCCCCUGUCUCAUAAAGCCUCCUCGCAUCACAUUUCGCUGUAUGUUGGUUGAUAUCUGCCUGGUGUGCCUUGUGUGAUGUGGAUAAUGCAACCAGAAUCUAUCAAAAACAACAAAGAUGAUGUCCUAUUAUCGUAUGCAUAUUCUGAUAUGUGUUGAACACGAAAAGAGAAAACUUACCUUCUGGUAAGGAUGGGGAGGCUCGAUAUUGAUGAUAUCCUGAUCCAGCUGCGUUUUAUAUUUCGAUAGAUAGGCUUGUUUAAUGAGCGCAAUAUGACUUGAUUUUCGUCCCACAAAGAUUUCCACCAGAGACUGAUAAUUAGAAUCAUUAUCUUGCAGAAGAGCUUCACGAGCAACAAUGGCGUCACGUUCAUGAGGAUGAAGCAUCCAAAGGGACAAAGCUGCGCAAGUUUUGGGGGAAACACCAGGCUGAUUUCGAAGGCUAGAUUUUUGCAGCAGAGUUAUCAAAUCUUCCCCAUAC